rnacentral:misc_RNA from 1 species
UAAUCCCCAAAGGCUCUAGACAUUGCUAGGCCUGGUGAUUGCUGAUCUGGAAGCCAAAUUCUGUGCACUCCUGGCUCAUCAUCCAAACAGAACACUCGUCCCUUGCACUGAAGUAUCCGUUCAGACUCCUGAGGUAAAUUGGGCUUGAAAUCAACAGUAAGCUGAACUGCUACCAAGUUUCCAUCAUCUGAUGUGGUAGCCAAUACAGCUCUAGAGUCGCCAACAUUUGCUAC